rnacentral:lncRNA from 1 species
AUCCCAGACUUGCUCUGGGAACUUCUCUGGUAACCAAAGGUAUACAAGUGAUUUCUCUUAUAUUCCAGGAUUCUCCAGGUGUGCGCUUAGUGUAAAACAAGCACCUACUGAUGCCGAAGAGAUACUCAUGCCAACUUCUGUCCUUACAUCUGAAGCUGGAGAAUAUACGAUUUGUAUGGCCAGUUGCACUUGUUUGUUCUUCUCCCAGACACUGGACUUCGGGUAGGAACAGAUAGAUGCAGGUACUCAACACUGGCAUAUACAGGUAUGUUUAUGAAGACUUAACAAACUUUUCUUUCCCCUGCUGCUGGUCCUACUUACAAAACUUUGUUCUUUCAGGUCUCAGCUGGAACUGGAAGGCAAAAUUGAAGAAAGUCUCUGAAAGAUGGUUCAGUGUUUUCCUAGCCCAGCUGGAUGCAGAGGCAGCUGUGGCUAUCUAGCUGGGACCAUCCCUGAACGGGUACUGUGCCCUGCUCCUCUCUGCCUCCAGCAGUGCUAUUAAAGGAAGGAGGGAGCUGUGAAUUCCCGCAGUCUUUGGUAAGGUACAACUUCCUUCCUUGCUCGCAACUAAUGAGAAAGGUUUCACCUCU